UACAGAGGGUGCAAGCGUUAAUCGGAUUUACUGGGCGUAAAGCGUGAGUAGGUGGCUCGCCAAGUCGAUUGUGAAAGCCCCGGGCUCAACCUGGGAAUUGCGAUGGAGACUGCAAGGCUUGAAUCUGGCAGAGGGGGGUAGAAUUCCACGUGUAGCAGUGAAAUGCGUAGAGAUGUGGAGGAACACCGAUGGCGAAGGCAGCCCCCUGGGUCAAGAUUGACGCUCAUGCACGAAAGCGUGGGGAGCAAACAGG
rnacentral:rRNA from 1 species